rnacentral:rRNA from 1 species
GACGAACGCUGGCGGCGUGCCUAAUACAUGCAAGUAGAACGCUGAAGGAGGAGCUUGGUUCUCCGCACGAGUUGCGAACGGGUGAGUAACGCGUAGGUAACCUGCCUGGUAGUGGGGGAUAACUAUUGGAAACGAUAGCUAAUACCGCAUAAGAGUAGAUGUUGCAUGACAUUGGCUGAAAAGUUGCAACUGCACCACUACCAGAUGGACCUGCGUUGUAUUAGCUAGUUGGUGAGGUAACGGCACACCAAGGCAACGAUACAUAGCAGACCUGAGAGGGGGAGCGGCCACACUGGGACUGAGACACGGCCCAGACUCCUACGGGAGGCAGCAGUAGGGAAUCUUCGGCAAUAGACGGAAGUCUGACCGAGCAACGCCGCGUGAGUGAAGAAGGUUGUCGGAUCGUAAAGCUCUGUUGUAAGAGAAGAACGAGUGUGAGAGUGGAAAGUUCACACUGUGACGGUAUCUUACCAGAAAGGGACGGCUAACUACGUG